ACCAACCAGGCUGCCACUUUGUCGGAGCACAUUCUUCUUUCACCAACACGGACGCAGACACAGGCCACAGGAUAAGUCAUUAGUAGUGCUCUUACAUGCUUCAACAAAGUGCCACCUCCACCCACCAGCAGCACCGAGUCCUACAGAGAGCUUGCAUGCCUCUUCGCAGCAAAUCCUUCAUUUCUUUCACUCACAUGUGACGUGAAGUGUUGCUAAAACUAAAGGGGAACACGAUUGUGGGGAAUGUGAUAUGCGAGGGGAAAAACAAAAAACCAGAACCACAUUUAAGGCACAGAGAGUGUUUCUGUCACAAAUUCAUUCCUCUCUCUCCUCUCUGUUCUCCUCUGACUGCUGUGUCAACAUGGGCUGGAUUUACAUUGAAUGUUCAAAUCUGAUGAGCUCGCUCUCACCUACUCAUGAGAUCCAAGUCGGAUUUGAACGGGUGGCACAACAAACAGAGUCGCAUUUGAGCAGGCAGUUGAAAUCCAGCCUGUGUUGACAUACCAAUCAGUGUGGAGCCCAGUGUGAGGCCGCAUUUACCAGAUCUGAUUGCCUCAGCGUUGUCCAAACAGGAGCAACACAUGAGGCAGAAGCCACAUGGAGCCGAAUGUGUGCAGAGUGGCAAGUUUCGUCCAGACAGACGGACAGACUCACCAGCCACUCAAUUAGGAACACUGCAAAUAUCUAAUCACUCCAUCACAAGGCAGCUUUGAGCACUAGAUCUAAGACCACUGUACAGACCACACUAGGUGCAUCUACUUGGCUGUGGACGAAUGUAUGGACGCACAGACUUUGACAGCUCUGUUCUGUCAGACUGCUACGACGCUCCCUUGGAGCUUUUGGGGAGUGAGGAUCACAGAGGGAAGUGCUCUGGUGUCAGUGGGGAAGGAGGGAUGUAGUCAUCAUGCGAGUCUCUCUUCUCCGCGGCGUACAGCUGUGAAUUACUGCUUACUGGCCAUCCAGGCCACUCUAAGAUUUAUUUGGAGAACUGAAAUGUUGGUGUAUGUGACCUCACAGAGCCCCAGUGCAGGUCCGGAGGUCUGUGUCACUGGAUGCCUCUUCAUUUCUAAUUUACAGCCCUCCUGGAGCUGCUAAUGCUGCUAAUGUAUGAUGAAUUUCUGCAGGAUGUAUGGCUGAUGGGAGAGCUUGGCAAUGGCUUUCACUGCACAGAGGGACUGCAUGUGGUACUGUAAAUAAUGAUUAGGCCUGUGCUGUGUUCUACUUAAUACUAUCAGCUAGCACAGCUGUGUCGAGUACGGAAUGUUGUUUCAGGGAAAUGAACAAUCUUGCCACAACAUUUGGAUGGACUUUCUGUGAAGGCCAGAUCAGUGUUGCGUUGGUUUCCACAUUGACUCGCAUUAUUUUGGUUUGCAAAUGAAUUUGAUACAAUGGCGCAACUCCACUCAAAGUAACUCAGUGGACAUAAUUAAGAGAAUAAAUAAGCGUUAUCCAUAGUUGAUUUAAUAUAAUGCACCAGCGUAGCAACGAGCACAAAACUGCAGACGACUUCAUCCUUAUUAGCUUUUACAUUAGCUGUGUCCAUGCUGAGCACUCCAUUACUGCAUUAUAAAUAAUCUCAGAGAAACUUCUGUCUAAAUACAUUUAAAAUGGAACAUAAUUGAUUGUAAUGAACUGUGCUGGAGAGAAACCUAAACUACAGACAAUGAAAUGGUUGCUAAUGAAUGAUCAUCUGGUGCUACAGUUUGUGUCGAAUAAAGUCAUUUACAGUGACAUAAAAAAA